rnacentral:rRNA from 1 species
UACAGAGGGGGCAAGCGUUGUUCGGAAUUACUGGGCGUAAAGCGCACGUAGGCGGCUUUGUAAGUUAGAGGUGAAAGCCUGGAGCUCAACUCCAGAAUUGCCUUUAAGACUGCAUCGCUUGAAUCGCGGAGAGGUGAGUGGAAUUCCGAGUGUAGAGGUGAAAUUCGUAGAUAUUCGGAAGAACACCAGUGGCGAAGGCGGCUCACUGGACGCGUAUUGACGCUGAGGUGCGAAAGCGUGGGGAGCAAACAGGG